GACGAACGCUGGCGGCGUGCCUAAUACAUGCAAGUCGAGCGGACGAAUCGAAAGCUUGCUUUUGAUUCGUUAGCGGCGGACGGGUGAGUAACACGUGGGCAACCUGCCCUGUAGACGGGGAUAACACCGAGAAAUCGGUGCUAAUACCGGAUAACACGAAAUGUCGCAUGACGUUUCGUUGAAAGACGGCGCAAGCUGUCGCUACAGGAUGGGCCCGCGGCGCAUUAGCUAGUUGGUGAGGUAACGGCUCACCAAGGCGACGAUGCGUAGCCGACCUGAGAGGGCGAUCGGCCACACUGGGACUGAGACACGGCCCAGACUCCUACGGGAGGCAGCAGUAAGGAAUCUUCCGCAAUGGACGAAAGUCUGACGGAGCAACGCCGCGUGAGCGAAGAAGGCCUUCGGGUCGUAAAGCUCUGUUGUUAGGGAAGAACAAGUAACGCAGUAACUGGCGUUACCGUGACGGUACCUAACGAGAAAGCCACGGCUAACUACGUG
rnacentral:rRNA from 1 species